CCUACGGGUGGCAGCAGUGGGGAAUAUUGGACAAUGGGGGGAACCCUGAUCCAGCGACGCCGCGUGAGUGAAGAAGUAUUUCGGUAUGUAAAGCUCUAUCAGCAGGGAAGAAAGAAAUGACGGUACCUGACUAAGAAGCCCCGGCUAACUACGGGCCAGCAGCCGCGGUAAUACGUAGGGGGCAAGCGUUAUCCGGAUUUACUGGGUGUAAAGGGAGCGUAGACGGCGAUGCAAGUCUGAAGUGAAAGGCGGGGGCCCAACCCCUGGACUGCUUUGGAAACUGUAUGGCUGGAGUGCAGGGGAGGUAAGUGGAAUUCCUAGUGUAGCGGUGAAAUGCGUAGAUAUUAGGAGGAACACCAGUGGCGAAGGCGGCUUACUGGACUGUAACUGACGUUGAGGCUCGAAAGCGUGGGGAGCAAACAGGAUUAGAUACCCCGGUAGUC
rnacentral:rRNA from 1 species